GCAAAGUUUACCAAAAAAAAUGUUCCCAUUUAGCAUUGGUUUUCCCAUCUAAAAAAUAUAUCAAAGCUCAAGCAUUGAAAGAAAUAGAGUAAAGAAAGAACAAUCAUUUCAAAAGCAAAUCAUUUGUCACUUUCUCAUCCUUCCUCUCACCUAUCAUUCUAACCAAAAGCAAACACUACUUUCCUUUUUUUCCACUUUAUCACUAAACUCACCCGAACCGACGUCGUUUAAUAUCUCAGUGAGACAAAAUCUCCAACAUCGUCGACCAGUGAUCACACAGAAAAAAUGCAAGAUCCACGCAACCAGGUUCCACCUUCUCCCACCAUCUCCUCCGUUUCUUCCUCCGAUCUUGAUACAGAGUCGACAGGAUCAUUCUUCCAUGACAGAAGCAUCACACUUGGAACACUCAUGGGGUUUAGUUUCACAGCAACCAUGCCGAUGAUGCCGCCAUUCAGAGCUUCCUCUCACCGCCACGUGUCUCCCUCCAUCUCAAUCUCACGUGCCUCCAGCUCCAACGCAACAAGACGCAACCAGAGGAAACGUCCUCCUCCGAACUCGUCCGAGCGGCAUCGCCGUCGCAAGUGGUGGCGCUUCUGCCGAGACGACGACGACGACGACGCCGGGAACGGUAUGCACCGUGGCUCCGGUGAUUGUAGACGGUCAUCGCUCGGUGAGUAUCUGGAGGUGGAACGGAGGUCUGGAGACGAAGCUGUCUAUGGCUCAGCCGAGGCGGAGCUAGAGGGUGCGGUGGCGCGUUAUAGGGAACAGCAGCCGGCGGUGGGGGAAAGAGCGUUAUUGGGAGGUAUUAAUGAUGGGUCUAACUCACAACCAAAAGCUAGUUCAUGAGUGGAGGAUUGCCAUACACUUAUAUAUUGCCCAAGAACACUUAUUCCAAACGAUAGGGGCUAUUAGAUGUGUCCCACAUCGUUUAAACAUGAGGUCUUUGGGCAAUAUAUAAGUGUGUGGGCAAUUCUCCACUCUUGAGCUAGCUUUUGGGUGUGAGUUAGGCCUAUCACUAAUAUGGUAUUAGAGCUCAUGGUGAAAACCCACCAGAUGAUUUCCCAUAUAAAUAGUUGUCUACCUAUGUAGCCUAUAAAAAAGGCCCAUCUUGCUGUGGUAUGUCCGAGAUGUUGGGCUUGGGCUGUUUACGUUGAACCGUUUCCCACCCACAUUUCAAGAGGGGCUAUUAGAUGUGUUCCACAUCGUUUAAAUAUGAGGUCUUUGGACAAUAUAUAAGUGUUUGGGCAAUCCUCCACUCUUGAGCUAGCUUUUGGGUGUGAGUUAGGCCUAUCACUAAUAGGAGGGUUCUUCCUCCGGCUUCGGCUGAGGUUGUUAGCGAAGAAGGUACGCCGGCGGUUACGGCAUUUUGUAGAUUCCCGGUUUCCUUAACCGGCAUAUGCAGCGGAGGCGGAGGAUAAAUCUGUCGGUUGUAAUAUUUGUGUAUUUUAAUAAUAUUCAAUAUUUUUUCAGAA